UUUCCCUACCUCCUCCUCUUUUCCCUUCCCCACAUGCACGCGGACCCCCGGCCCCGUCCACCCCAACCCUUGGCACCUUCGUGCGGGGCCUUCCCUUUUGGGCGGGUUUAAAUCAAAACAAGCGGCCGAGCUUCGGGGGGCGAACGAGGCCGCUCGGCGUCGGCGGUACCUGCUCCGUUCCCGCUGUCUUCCUCUCGCCUUGGAUGCGUGACAAGAGCCAACUCGCCUCUGGUGGGCUCUGGGAGCCGCGGGGCUGUAACCCUUUGCAGGAAGUUGGCACGGCUCCCAGGAAGAAAAAUGGGAAGAGAACAGCUCCAAGCCAGCCAGCAAGACAAUGCGUGGGGGACAGGAGAUUAGCGCAGCUCUCGGGAUCCAUCUCGCCUGCCCCAUUUCGGAACCCCACGCCUCAUCCAUGCGGUGCUCCUGAACGAUUCCAGUCCGCAGUCCGGAGUCCCUCCGAGCUGCCAAGAGCAUCGCAACAGGAAAGAAAGAAAGAGCGAGAGGGAGAGCGAGGCAGAGUCCUCACAAUCGAGCAGCGAGAAGAGCAAGGAGAAAUUAACAUCCAAUUAGCGCCGUGUUUAACGAGGGAGACAGAGGCGGCCGUUGUUUUAUUGCCCUGUUCUUUUCAGGCACAUCUGACAGGCAGCGGGGAAGGCACCCCAGCUCGAAGUGACGUCAUCAUAUUUUAUUUUUUUUUUUUUUAUGUCUUUUCUAUUUUUUUAUUUAUUUAUUUUUUCUCCUUUUUCCCCCCUUCUUUCCUCUUCCAAGUUGCAAGGCGAGAUUUCGGCAACAUGGCCAGGGCGACGUGGGGCUUCGAGCCGACGACUCCUGCCUCCAUCCCCCCCUUCCCCAACACCAACCCUGUAAAACAAACACCACCAACCCCACGCCCGAAAGUCUUUGUUCUUCCAAACAAUUAAAAAAAAAAAAAAGGAAAAAAAUAAAACAUUCAGGUCAACCCGGAGGAGGUUUCUGCGCUCUGCGCGUCCCUGCGUCCGUCUCGCUGCCGUUCCUCUCCCGAGCCGGCUCACUCGGCUUGUAAAACUUUGCUGCAUGUGACGCUGCUCCCAACCUCCUUUGGCAGAGUGACAAGAACCGCGCUGCCGGGAUCGGAGAGCGCAGGCGGCUUUUAAGGAAGAAACUCAAUUCGCUCAGAUUAGAGAAUUAGGGAUGUUUUAAUCAAGGGACAGCGUGGGGCUGCCAGCGGGCGGCCGGGAGGGACGGCAGCGGGGUGAGCGGCCAGGAGGACGGCGAUGCUGUGACCCCCGUGUGGGGCUGUGCUAUGGGGAGAGGAGCUGCGCUGCAAACGGGGGAGACUUAAUGUCGUGGCCUCGGCUCUCUCCUCCCCCCCCCCCCCCUGGGGCGGGGGGGCCACGGAGCAGGGUGGGAGGAAGGCCCGACGGGGUCUCGUCGCAGGGAGGAAGCAAGGCCGCGGGGCCCCGCGUGCUGCUGGAUGGGGGGGUUGGCUGGGAGAGCGGGCAGAAUUUCCUCCAAAUGGCUCUGUGCAAAGCAGGGGGUGUGAAAUGCUGCUCGACACCUCGGAGCUGCCCAGAGAAUGCGGCUGUGCGUGGGGACACGCGGCUGCAUGGCAGCUCAGUGCUUUGGCUGCACCCAUCGCUGCCUAUCGUCCUCAUCUCCAGCCAGGAUUUCCCUCUGUUCUUUCCCCUGCUCUGCCUCUCGCUCUGUGCCCCCAGCAGGUCCCGCUCAAUGCUCUCCAUCACCUCCCACCUCACUCCUGCCCACCCUCAUGAGAGGGGACAGCUCUGUGACCACCGUGCCCCAGUCCCAAUUCCCCACCCUGAACCCUUCCCAGCAGGACUGGGCUGCACCAGUCGCCUCUCCAGGGUUUAUUUUUAUUAUUGAGUAACUAUUUGCCUCUACGGACCUUCCUGCUGCAGGAAAGGCACACAAAGAGACUCGCAGAGGGCAGCAUUGCUGCAGGGCAUUGCCUUGCUGCCCAUAAGCCUAACACUGCAGUGACAGCACCCGGAAAGGUGUGCUCAGGUCUUUGUCUUAGCUGAAGGGCUUUUAGCAGCAGAGCUCUGCAGGGGAAAAGGGCCCCAGGGGAGCUCAGGGCUGCCUUGACCUGAGUUUCCCUCUCCCAGCUUCAAUCUCUGUCUCCUUUGUCCCCUCGGCAGCUGGGAGCAGAUGAGGCCAAAGUCCCAGUAAUCUCCACUUUCCACUGGAGAACGAUAAACUGCAGGCACGGGGCGGUUGCAAACUCCACCCAUCCCACUUCUGUGCUGGAGAGUCAAUAUUUAAACACAAGUUUGCUUCCUGGCUAGAUAGGGGAACGCCAGGGCUGUGCAUGGGUCCUCGGUGCCAGACCCAGCCCUCCUUCCAUCCCACUUCAUUUGUUCUCCCAACUGCAGUUUCAGCCCUGAGCCCCUCUGUUGUAGCAGCAGGGCCACAUCCUUGUCACCUGUGCUGCAGGGGCUGGGCACCCAUUAACAGGCAGCAAUUAAAAGGGAGGGGCUGCCUGGGUGGUGUUUUCUCCUUGCCUGUUCCUGGUGCAGCUGCUGUCCCUAUAGAGGGAUGCCUGAAGUGAAGCAAUGGACAAGAGGAACCAGAAAGCAGGAGGCUUUCCCAGUAUCAUCAGAUUCACAGCCUGGACCAGAGAAACAUCCUUCUGCUCUCUCUCCUAUGCGUCCUGAUCGAGAUAGCCAU